UACAGAGGUCUCAAGCGUUGUUCGGAAUCACUGGGCGUAAAGGGUGUGUAGGCGGUGUGUUAAGUCAGAUGUGAAAGCCCGGGGCUCAACCUCGGAACUGCAUCCGAUACUGGCAUGCUAGAGAAUUGGAGAGGAGUCUAGAAUUCACGGUGUAGCAGUGAAAUGCGUAGAUAUCGUGAGGAAUACCAAGUGCGAAGGCAGGACUCUGGACAUUUUCUGACGCUGAGACGCGAAAGCGUGGGGAGCAAACAGG
rnacentral:rRNA from 1 species